rnacentral:rRNA from 1 species
GAGCACUGUUUCGGCAAGGGGGUCAUCCCGACUUACCAACCCGAUGCAAACUGCGAAUACCGGAGAAUGUUAUCACGGGAGACACACGGCGGGUGCUAACGUCCGUCGUGAAGAGGGAAACAACCCAGACCGCCAGCUAAGGUCCCAAAGUCAUGGUUAAGUGGGAAACGAUGUGGGAAGGCCCAGACAGCCAGGAUGUUGGCUUAGAAGCAGCCAUCAUUUAAAGAAAGCGUAAUAGCUCACUGGUCGAGUCGGCCUGCGCGGAAGAUGUAACGGGGCUAAACCAUGCACCGAAGCUGCGGCAGCGACGCUGAUGCGUUGUUGGGUAGGGGAGCGUUCUGUAAGCCUGUGAAGGUGUGCUGUGAGGCAUGCUGGAGGUAUCAGAAGUGCGAAUGCUGACAUAAGUAACGAUAAAGCGGGUGAAAAGCCCGCUCGCCGGAAGACCAAGGGUUCCUGUCCAACGUUAAUCGGGGCAGGGUGAGUCGACCCCUAAGGCGAGGCCGAAAGGCGUAGUCGAUGGGAAACAGGUUAAUAUUCCUGUACUUGGUGUUACUGCGAAGGGG